AUUGAACGCUGGCGGCAUGCCUUACACAUGCCAGUCGAACGGCAGCACGGGUGCUUGCACCUGGUGGCGAGUGGCGAACGGGUGAGUAAUACAUCGGAACAUGUCCUGUAGUGGGGGAUAGCCCGGCGAAAGCCGGAUUAAUACCGCAUACGAUCUACGGAUGAAAGCGGGGGACCUUCGGGCCUCGCGCUAUAGGGUUGGCCGAUGGCUGAUUAGCUAGUUGGUGGGGUAAAGGCCUACCAAGGCGACGAUCAGUAGCUGGUCUGAGAGGACGACCAGCCACACUGGGACUUAGACACGGCCCAGACUCCUACGGGAGGCAGCAGUGGGGAAUGUUGGACAAUGGGCGAAAGCCUGAUCCAGCAAUGCCGCGUGUGUGAAGAAGGCCUUCGGGUUGUAAAGCACUUUUGUCCGGAAAGAAAUCCUUGGCCCUAAUACGGUCGGGGGAUGACGGUACCGGAAGAAUAAGCACCGGCUAACUACGUG
rnacentral:rRNA from 1 species